rnacentral:rRNA from 1 species
GAUCAGCCAUGCCGCGUGUGUGAAGAAGGCCUUUUGGUUGUAAAGCACUUUAAGCGAGGAGGAGGAGCUCUUGGUUAAUACCCAAGAUGCUUGGACGUUACUCGCAGAAUAAGCACCGGCUAACUCUGUGCCAGCAGCCGCGGUAAUACAGAGGGUGCAAGCGUUAAUCGGAUUUACUGGGCGUAAAGCGCGCGUAGGUGGCCAAUUAAGUCAAAUGUGAAAUCCCCGAGCUUAACUUGGGAAUUGCAUUCGAUACUGGUUGGCUAGAGUAUGGGAGAGGAUGGUAGAAUUCCAGGUGUAGCGGUGAAAUGCGUAGAGAUCUGGAGGAAUACCGAUGGCGAAGGCAGCCAUCUGGCCUAAUACUGACACUGAGGUGCGAAAGCAUGGGGAGCAAACAGGAUUAGAUACCCUGGUAGUCCAUGCCGUAAACGAUGUCUACUAGCCGUUGGGGCCUUUGAGGCUUUAGUGGCGCAGCUAACGCGAUAAGUAGACCGCCUGGGGAGUACGGUCGCAAGACUAAAACUCAAAG